CCUACGGGGGGCAGCAGUGGGGAAUAUUGCACAAUGGGCGCAAGCCUGAUGCAGCCAUGCCGCGUGUGUGAAGAAGGCCUUCGGGUUGUAAAGCACUUUCAGCGGGGAGGAAGGCGGUGAGGUUAAUAACCUCAUCGAUUGACGUUACCCGCAGAAGAAGCACCGGCUAACUCCGUGCCAGCAGCCGCGGUAAUACGGAGGGUGCAAGCGUUAAUCGGAAUUACUGGGCGUAAAGCGCACGCAGGCGGUCUGUCAAGUCGGAUGUGAAAUCCCCGGGCUCAACCUGGGAACUGCAUUCGAAACUGGCAGGCUAGAGUCUUGUAGAGGGGGGUAGAAUUCCAGGUGUAGCGGUGAAAUGCGUAGUGAUCUGGAGGAAUACCGGUGGCGAAGGCGGCCCCCUGGACAAAGACUGACGCUCAGGUGCGAAAGCGUGGGGAGCAAACAGGAUUAGAUACCCGGGUAGUC
rnacentral:rRNA from 1 species